rnacentral:rRNA from 1 species
GACGAACGCUGGCGGCGUGCUUAACACAUGCAAGUCGAACGGAAAGGCCUCUUUCGGGGGGUACUCGAGUGGCGAACGGGUGAGUAACACGUGAGUAACCUGCCCUUGACUUUGGGAUAACUUCAGGAAACUGGGGCUAAUACCGGAUAGGAGCUCCUGCUGCAUGGUGGGGGUUGGAAAGUUUCGGCGGUUGGGGAUGGACUCGCGGCUUAUCAGCUUGUUGGUGGGGUAGUGGCUUACCAAGGCUUUGACGGGUAGCCGGCCUGAGAGGGUGACCGGCCACAUUGGGACUGAGAUACGGCCCAGACUCCUACGGGAGGCAGCAGUGGGGAAUAUUGCACAAUGGGUGGAGGCCUGAUGCAGCAACGCCGUGUGCGGGAUGACGGCCUUCGGGUUGUAGACCGCUUUCGCUCAUGACGAAGCUUUGUGUGACGGUAGUGGGUAAAGAAGCACCGGCUAACUACGUG